UACGUAGGGAGCAAGCGUUGUUCGGAUUUACUGGGCGUAAAGGGCGCGUAGGCGGCAAUUCAAGCCACUUGUGAAAUCUCCGGGCUUAACUCGGAACGGUCAAGUGAUACUGCUUUGCUAGAGUGCGGAAGGGGCAAUCGGAAUUCUCGGUGUAGCGGUGAAAUGCGUAGAUAUCGAGAGGAACACCUGAGGUGAAGACGGGUUGCUGGGCCGACACUGACGCUGACAGCGCGAAAGCCAGGGGAGCAAACGGG
rnacentral:rRNA from 1 species